CUUGAAGGGACAAGAAGAACUUCAUGAAGACAUGGUCUGCAGGGUUUUUUUUUUUUCCGAAUGCUUUUGUGUUUUUGGUUUGAAGUUGGUUCAUCUCUGCAUUUUUUUCUCUAUACAUUUGAACAGAUCUUUGCAUAUUUGAAGAUCUCGUGUUCAGAUCUGGCUGGUUAUUUUUUUAUUUUUUAUUUUUUGGUUUGCUUCCAUAGAUCUAAAAUAGAUCCGACUGAGGUUUUUUUUUUUGGGUAUUUUUUCGUCUUCAGAUAUGAGUGGCGUCAUUCGCUGAUCUCCAAGUAUAUGUUGCUGCCUCUGUUUUGCUAUUGUUUUACAGACAUGGUCUGCAGGUUUUUUUUUUUUUUUUUUCCGAAUGCUUUUGUGUUUUUGGUUUGAAGUUGGUUCAUCUCUGCAUUUUUUUCUCUAUACAUUUGAACAGAUCUUCGCAUAUUUGAAGAUCUCGUGUUCAGAUCUGACUGGUUAUUUUUUUAUUUUUUAUUUUUUGGU